rnacentral:tRNA from 1 species
GUCUUCCCUUUCACGGAAAACGGAAGAGAGGAGUUGAUCAAUUCAUCGGAUCGGGACUGACGGG